rfam:Octopus bimaculoides Scaffold61_contig_9, whole genome shotgun sequence.
UGUAUACCAAAACUGUCCUCAAAUACCCCUCGCAACUUGUAUGUAUAUAUAUAUAUAUAUAUAUAUAUAUAUAUAUAUAUAUAUACAUACAGGAUGCGAGGGGUAUUUGAGGACAGUUUUGGUAUACA